CACCAUUGAACGAGAGGUUUACCGGGGUUUCACAGGGGUGCUCUUGUCUUCUUUCCUGGGCCGUCUCUACACGUACGCACAUACAGGCACGGACACUCUGCACGUGUGAGGACGGCGUUGGAGACAUCUUAGCCCUGUCCAGGCGAAUCAUACCGCCUGCUGUUCCGCCGCGCCCUUUUCCCUCGUAGCGCGCUCAACAUAGGCGUAAGAAUGAAGCCGCUAGUGCCAUUUGUGUGUCGACUGCCGAGUCGCCGCAUUCUGCGCGUGCGUGGCACGGAUGCGCACGAGUUUCUGCAAGGCAUCUUCACCAACGACCUCCGCGAACUCCACCCCGCUGGAAGCAUGUACGGCUGCUUUCUCUACUUUACCGGCCGCGUUCUGUGCGACGCGCACUUGUACCAGUGCAAGCAGGUCCACGAGGGGCAGGCCUCCAUCCUCGUUGACGUGCAUGAGAGAAGCGCAGCUGGGUUGUUUGACCACCUUACAGAGAUGAAGAUGCGCAAGAAGGUUCACAUCGAUGAUGUCGGCAAAGAGCUUGUGGUGCUGGCCACCUUGGAGGAGACGUUCGCGGAUGCGCAACGGAGCAGUGAUUCCGCGAGUGGGUGUGACGCGAGGGCGAGCUCAGUCACGCCGUUGUCCCCAGAGACGCUGGAGGAGCGGCACACAGAGUGCUUCCCCGACCCGCGCAAUGAUGCGCUAUUCACACGACCGCCACCGCCCUCCUCCUCCUCCUCCACGUCCGCGUCAGACUCAGUAGAUACGGCAGCGGCAUCUGCAACGGCGGCCCCUCCCUCCUCCUCUCCACCGGCCGCCGUCACGCCACCUAGCUGGUUUCUGCGGAGGUGCGUCGUGCCCGCCACGUGGGCCCCUCCGUUCUCCUCUCCAGAUCCAUAUACAACACUCCUGUACAGCCGGGGCAUCGGCGAGGGGCCCGAUGUGUUCAAGCACAACAAGAGUCUCCCGUUCGAAGGUAACUUGGACUUUCUAAAGGGCGUCAGCUUUCACAAGGGGUGCUACGUUGGGCAGGAGCUCACGCAUCGAACGCACGUGAUGCUCGUGACGCGGAAGCGGACGGUGCCGCUUCACUUCGGCCCUGCGAGCGUGGACCCACCAGCGGCGGGUGCCAUCACUGACGAGGGCACAGUCACGAAGACGCGGCCGGUGGAGGUAGGGGAGCCCCUCUAUUCGGCUGCUAAGGAAAAGAUCGGUGAGGUGACGGGCGUGUGUGGCCAAGUCGGCAUUGGCCUUUUUCGUCUGCGCUACGUGGACAAGGCAACGCGCACGGUGCCGGGGCUGCAGCUGAAAGAUGGCACGCCGGUGCAGUCGCACCUGCCCGACUGGUGGCCGCGCAAAGAGGUGAAGAAGCUCCUGAAGAACAACAGCUGAGCAGCUGGGCACACACACACACAUGCACAGAGGACUCUUCCCUCCCUUCCCUCUCCCUAACAGCAUCAGUUUUCUAGCAUGUUUUCCUUAUCUACUCUUCUUCCUCGCUCUCUCGCUGUCCGUAUCGAUGCUGUGAACAAGCACGGACGGAUUGAUGGUGUGCUGACAUGUUUCGUGUUUGUGCACAGCACGUUCGCUCCUCCCCCCCCCCUGGUGCCGCGAUUGAAGCGAAGUUGCGUCGAAGAUGGCCAUCAAACCCGACUUGGACCAAGCGUAGGGACAGAAACCCAUGGAUUGCCUGCGCAGCCGUUGGCGACGGAGGGGAAAGAGGGGAGGGGAGUACGGCUGGAGGAAAGAAGUGGCCCGCGCUGCUUCCGCGAUCGCCCUCGCUG
rnacentral:misc_RNA from 1 species